rnacentral:lncRNA from 1 species
CAGCAAAAUUAGGUUUCUAGAAGCCAGCAAAGUAGUUUGUCACAGAAAACAGCAGAGAAUCAGAUGAGUCAGGGAUAAGAUAGCUGGGGAAAUCUGCCCAGCUACUGUCUUCUCCAGAUGAUGCUAGUUGUCAUGAAUUCAUGAGCUUUGAAAAACAUAAUGGGGAAAAACAGUCUCCAAGCAAGGGCAGGUACCAUGUCUGGCACUGUGUAUUUUUUAAAGAAUAACAUUGAGGCUCCUUGCCUCCUUUCAAACUGUGAGAGAAAGUUUCUAUUCAGUGUUCUAAAUGCUAUCUGCUUAGUUUAAUAGGGUUGUAGUGACCAUCAUGGGUGUUUUACUGAAGUCCAAAGUAUCCCAGAAAAUGUAUAUUCCUCUCUUUUCUUAUUAAAUGGUGCACAGGAACAAGCUCAUCAUCAUCCUUAUUUUAUUGCAAAUUGGUCUGUUGAAUUAUUUAUUCUUUCUUUAUCCCUAUUUCCCCGUCUUACCUUGAAGCCCUCUCCCUCCACCAAAUGGCAAACAUUCUGCCCGAAGACAGAAACCAAGUUGUUAGGAAUGUGGCUAAUUGGGUGUCUGGGGCAGUGUCAUUUCCAUACACUGAUUUUCCCCGCACUUGAGCAGUUAUACAGGAAGCAAAUUGGCAAUUAAAGUAACCACACAAUCCUGUAGCUGACACUGUCUUCCAAUUAUUUCCAUUAUUCAGAUGUGCUGCCAGAGCUUGCAAGGAGACAACCAGGUCAGCUUGCUCCAAUUCUUCCCUUACUGGCAAAUUCUUCCCAGGUGACUGUAACAGCAGGGAAGGACUACACAAACGGAGUUGAGCUUUCCAAAUCUUCAUCAGGCUCAGGAGGAGCUGCACAGGCUGUUGUCGGGACUGAUUGUCAUAUGAAACUCCCUUGCUGGCGGAUACUCCCUUCUUGUGCUAUGGGAUGCCCAGGUUCUUCCACAAGUACAGUUGUCAACAGGUGCCAUCAGGGAGAGCUUCCGGCAAGAGGGGUGGAAUGUGAAACUGCAAUGCCAC